rnacentral:rRNA from 1 species
UACGUAGGGUGCGAGCGUUAAUCGGAAUUACUGGGCGUAAAGCGUGCGCAGGCGGUUUUGUAAGCCCGAUGUGAAAGCCCCGGGCUUAACCUGGGAAUGGCAUUUGGGACUGCAAGGCUUGAGUGCGGCAGAGGAGACUGGAAUUCCUGGUGUAGCAGUGAAAUGCGUAGAUAUCGGGAGGAACACCGGUGGCGAAGGCGGCAUCCUGGACCGACACUGACGCUCAGGCGCGAAAGCUAGGGGAGCAAACGGG